GAAAUUGUUUUUGCUAAUAAGACAAAAAUAGAAAGUCAUUUUCAUGAAGGAAACAUGAAAACACUGGGGAAAUAAGUGAUGCGAACAUUAUGCGUACACAGCAUCUCAUCUGGGUUUCCUGAUGAGGGAAUUUUAAAUUUUUAAAAGAAGCAAGUCUUCUCUGAACUUCAAAAAUUCCUCUGGAAGUUUUACCAACGUCGCAAAAAGAUUUGAAGAACUAAGAAAGAUGAGACACAUGAGAAAUAAGAAAGAAAACUCAGGUGGCCAGCGCUAUGGGAAAGGAGGCCAGGUCCCUGAGAGGACUGAUAAUGUGGUGGACUAGAGGACAGCUGGUGGAUUUAAUGCAGGAGGAAUCGAGGGUACCUGUGGAGAGGGAAGAUACAACUUUCAGGUUUGCAACCAGUCUGGCAAUUAUUUUUAUAUGGCAUAAGAAUUAAACAAUUAAUGAAAUGGAUUGUGGAUGGCAGGAACAGAUUUCUCACUACUGGAAUGGAAGAUUAAAGAUAAGCAAGAGGAAGAAGCUAGAAUAAUCUAUGCAGUAAUGGAUUAGAGUUGGAAACAUCAGUAUGAACUUGUGUUUGGAUUAAUACCAAUACAGCUGUGUGCUCCAGUUUCUUCGUUCCAUUAUCCAUUUGGCUUCCUGCUGCCCACCUUGGAUUCUCUACUCCAGUUUGCAUCUUAGAUCUCAACCCCUGGCUGAGACGGCACUCCAGCUGCGGGGAAAGGAUUGCCUCUGGAACCUUUCCAUAGGAAGUCUUCUCUAACUGACCCUGUCUCUACCCG
rnacentral:lncRNA from 1 species